rnacentral:misc_RNA from 1 species
CUCAGCUGACAAGCUCGUUCAGGAUUGGUCAUUUAGUUCUUCAUCGUAUCGAACCAAUGACAAACCUCACCACGCACGACUCAAGUCGACAGGGGCCUGGUGUCUGCCGGAGGUCAUUAAUAUGGACUUUACACAUUACUUAGAGGUGGAACUGCCACGUCUGUAUCUUGUAUCAGCGGUCGCUACCCUGGGAGGCGUGAGGAGUUUGGAAUAUGUGACGUCAUAUAGGGUGGAAUACAGCGUGGAUGGUCGUGAAUGGAAGAAUACCUCAGUGGAUGGUACUCAGGUAAUCAAAGGCAACACUGCCUCUGGAAAUGACGACGUUCAAACGAGAUUAUUAGACAAUGCUGUCAGGGCAAAAUUCCUGAGAUAUAUUCCUCUGGAUUGGGGGAGAGUCGCUUGCAUGAGAGUUGAUAUAUGUGGACACCAACUGCCACAUUAUCCCACAGUCAUCGCGAAGGAACAGGCAUCUUCCGCCAUCCUAUCCUGGUCAACUCCUGACCCAGGAGACGAGGGAAUACAGAAAUACUACGUCAGAUAUUGGAAAACAUCGCAAGGAAAGACUUCACAGAAGAUCUUUGAGAGUGUGACCAAUGCUGAAGUUCUUGUUCCUAAUCUCAGACCGUUCACGGAAUACAGAGUUGAGAUUUCUGGGGUGAGCGAGCUUGGUGAAGGACUAGCCCGAGUGAUACAAUUCACGACGCUUGAAACAGCACCCUCAGGGUCACCAACGAGUAUAUCGUUCGAAUUCCUGGGAGAAAACGCUGUGAAUAUUACAUGGACUCCCCCAGACGAGGAUAAAAGAAAUGGUGUUAUCAUUGCUUACAUCAUUUGUUUCCCCUUGUCAGCCACGAGCGGAGAGUGUAAGGACACAACAACUCUCCCGGGUUCCAAGACGUGGUAUGUCUUGAGUGAUAGAGACUUCAGCUCUGAACAGAUCGUCAAGAUUCGGGCGCAAACAAAAGAAGGACUGGGUCCAAUGGGACAAGCUACAAGUGGAGUGUUGGAGUACACAGCACCUGAAGGUAAAUGUUAAAUUGUGAUGUGAAUAACGAGUAGAAAACGAGGCACACUCAGUUCUUUCUCGUUGAUCUUGCUCUCGUCUCAUUCCAGGUGUCGCUUUGUCGCUUAUCAUAGCAAUAACAUGUGGUGUUAUCUUUUUGGCUUUUAUCCUUGUCGUAAUUCUUGCUGUCAAAGGUGUUAUUUUGAAGAACUUUGUCCGGAAACUCAGGAAACUGACCAGCUCUCAGUUAACAAUGUCAACAAGCGAUGGCUACAAGUCUAACAACCCAACCGUUCUUGUACUUCCCGAUCAGGAGACGCGAACAGCGGAGACUCUUUACAACUCCACCAACCAACAGAUUACGGAGAAUCUUUACGAUGAUCUAGAAAACGUACGAAAACAAACGAUUACUUUGACAGAACAAAAUAUUUAUGGCAACUCUGUGAACCUCACGUUCUCCACGCAAGAUCAAUUUGCGAACUUACCAUCAGACCAGAUUUACGCAACAAAUGGAGAAAACGAGGGAGCCUAUGGGACAAAUAUGAUUCAUAAUGAACACGAUCAACAACAUGCUGUAUAUCAAUACAAUACCUCAAACAUCCCGGAAGAUCCCUACAGUCUGAAUCCUCUACCGAUGAU